rnacentral:rRNA from 1 species
UACGGAGGGGGCUAGCGUUGUUCGGAAUUACUGGGCAUAAAGCGCACGUAGGCGGCUUUGUAAGUUAGAGGUGAAAGCCCGGGGCUCAACUCCGGAACUGCCUUUAAGACUGCAUCGCUUGAAUCCAGGAGAGGUGAGUGGAAUUCCGAGUGUAGAGGUGAAAUUCGUAGAUAUUCGGAAGAACACCAGUGGCGAAGGCGGCUCACUGGACUGGUAUUGACGCUGAGGUGCGAAAGCGUGGGGAGCAAACAGG